ACAUGACAACAUGCCUGGCUAAUUUUUGUAAUUUUUUUUUUUUAGUACAGAUGGUGUUUCCUCAUGUUGGCUAGCCUGAUCUCAAACUCCUGACCUCAAUGAUACAUCCACCCUGGCCUCCCAAAGUGCUGGAAUUACAGGCAUGAACCACCAUGUCCGGCCCAGAAUAUUUUCCAAUAAUGGUCACAGCUUAGUCUGGCAGUGCUUCUUACUGCAACUCAACAGCAGGAUACAUCUUAAUAUGUUUACAUUCAAAUGCUCCACUUUUUGGAAGUGAACUUGUGGAACUUAAAUAAAAAAAGAUCCGAAUACUGUCAGCCUGGAGUGGAAUCGAAUGAGCUGUGUAUGAACAGCUGUCCUAAGCAGUUAGAUUCCCUGAGCCUUUUGCCAAAAGAUAAGUAUUUCAUGCCCUGGAAAGGGAGCCUGGAGCUUAACAAUAUAAAAAUUGGAAUUAGUUGAGAGUACUACAACAUCUGAGGAUCUCCAUGAUCUGAAACUAACUUAUUUUGUUUACCACUUCAUUAUAUGACGCUUAGCAUUACAUUCAUACUGCAUGAGACUAUUCCCCAUUUUUGACAUAACACUGUACUUUUACUCACUUCGGGCACCCUGGCUUAUACCAUCAGCCUUACGCUCUAUUACUUUUCCCUCCUUCAUCCCUAAAUGUUCAAGCUCUACGUCUUCAUUUGGGCCUUAAAGAGUAAAUAGGUAUUCUAUAUAUUGAAACCACACCUUACAAUACUUUACAAUACUGAAGAGUGGUUUAGAUAACACUUGCUCUCUUGCUUUCAUGUUAAUGUUACUAUUCUGGGGGGAUAUUUCUGGAUUGGUUUUCUUGAUAGAUGAAAUGGCCUGUGAAUGCAGUCAGUGAGUUGGAGUUCAUGAAGGUAUUCAGGGUUGAAUAUCUACAAAGUCUGCUUUUUCUGCCUUGGAGAACUGUGGUUUCAUGAUUGAGUUUGUCACAUGGUGAAUAAGCAAAGAGAAAACAAUCUUCAUGAAGUUUCAGCUUCAUUGCCAAAGAGUGGUUUUCAAAAUGGCAAUUUGCUGCUUCCAUGUUGUAGUGUAACAUUUUGUUUACCCUCAGUUGUUAAAAUCAAUUGCGGUUGGUUGCAAUUCCUGAGGGGCCUACCUUUAUAAUGUAAGGUUUGAAUAAUUUGUCAAAAGUGCUAAGCUCUAGAUUUAUAGUUUCAAAAAAAAAAUAAAAAAAAAUCCUUUGAUUUUCCCAAAGUGAUACUAUGAACCUUUGAAAUGGCUUGACUUUGCCCAGGUUUCCCUGCAGAGCAUACAGGCUUUGUGGUCAGUAUUUUGAUCCCCAAAGGAAUGCCUUUUGGAAAUGCCAAGCUAGCACAAAUGCUGAAGCUUAUAAGUGCCUGCUGCUCUACUACUACUGUUGUGUGUCUUGUUGAAGUUUCCUUUAUGUACUUCAAAGACAUUGAAACAAAUCAGAAAACUGUAUCAAGGGGUGAGGGAAAAUAGCAGGAGAGAUUACAUUUCAUUGUUUCUUUUAUUCUUCAGUUCUAGUUCCUAGACUUUCAGACAAGUAGAGUGAGAUGAAAGAUGGUGCCUGCUGUUUUACUGAAAGAGUCUUGGUUCCUGUUGCUCAGGUACAAGCUCUAGGAUUAAUAUAUCAUAGCUAUAUCUUGAGAAUGUCUUAGUUCUCUUCUGGCAGACAGAAAUGCAGCUGUGCAUUUUUAGGGCAUGCAACUGGGAUAGGAGAAAAAAAUAAAAAUGACUUUAGGCUUAUUGUGGCCAAAGAAAGACUUCAUAAGGAAACAAAAAGUUUUAAGGCUUUAUUGGAUUAUUUUCACUCUUGUUGUUGUGUAUAUUUGGGAG
ensembl:lncRNA